AUGACGAAUGAGUUACUUUAACUUAAAAUUUAGAGUGGACUUUCUGGGACAUGCCAAAAAUGUUAAAAUUAACAUUUUAUUUUUUACUGUGUACCGUCCGACAAGGAUACUACGAGGAACGUUAAAGUUCUACUCAAAUUCAGAGAGAGAGAUGACAACGAUAGAUAGAUAGACCUGCAUGGGUAUAGUAUGUUAAAAUCUAACAUAUAUUCUGUAGAAGCGUAUUCCAAAAUCGUCCUAUGUCCUUCUCAUUAGAGAUUCUUUAGAUAAAUGAAGAUCGAUAGUCGCUCCAUAAUGACAUCAAAGCGUGUAUUACAUGCUUGUAAUGAACCAUUAGCUGUAACGAUGAAAUCGUAUUAUUCAAAUUUCGAGAGAUCAUCGAAAUGUUUUGAUUUCCCGGUCCAUGUAACGAUUUUAUGUAGAGCUCGCAUUAAAAUCAUCACAAAAUAAUAUUUCGUAAUAUGACUGUAAUGCAGUUUUAAAAAAGGCGAGAGAAAGAACGAAAGAGCGAGUGGGUCUGUUAAUUGCUGCAGAGUUCAAUAAUUAAUAAGUUGCAUCGAAUACAUCCAGGUCGUCAUGAAAUUAAUAUAAAAAAUAAUGGAAAAUAAUGGACAGUGAUAAAAUUUGCAUGAGGAUUAACCGGGAAUAACGAAUGUUCCGCUAAAGUAAAGAGACGAAUGUAACGAGUUAAAUAAGUUUAACAAGGCACGUAUCAUCGUAUCGUGGAAUUGCGCAAAACAUGCAGCCGCCUCGCAAAGGGUUACGUCUCUUUUCCUUCUUUGUAGGAUCGCGCGUAUGUUCCCUCAUUAUCGCGACUGCGAUUAAAUGUUUUUACCGUGAGCAUCGAAGCGUUUCACGUGGCGGGUGCAUCGUCGGCGAUGCCUGAAGAAGUGCACGAAGGACAACGGCGAUCACGUACAAUCGUAAUUCCCUGCUCGAACGCGAGAUUACAAACCUUGUUUCCAAGGACGUGAUACGAAGGAAAUAUCGUGGAUUCGUUAAAAAUAGCGUGUUGCCUCGACGCCUCAUCCAUGGGUUUCAAUUACCUCUCAAAUGAGGUUAUUUCGAACUGCAUGACAAUUAGCAAACUCGAUGCAAUUAUUUCUGCACAGCCACAAAAGAUGCAAGAGUUGAUGUGGAUGACAUUGAAUUAAUAAAGGCAACGAGAUGACUGAUAUUAAUAUGAGUGAGAGAGUAUGCAUUAAUCAAUGUUGCAAUACGCAGGAGAUAAAACACUGCUACAUUCAUUAUCAUAUUUCCACACAUCCUGAUAUCAGAUAUAAACGCAGAUACCAUGUCCAAGUACAAACAAAUAGUUUGCUGCAGUGAAAGAUAUAGUUUCAAGUGAUAAAUAAUUUCUAGAUAAGAACAUUGUACUUGAAAUUGCCAUCAGAAGGACAUAUUACAUCACACAUCUCUGUACCAGAAUAUUGUAUCACAUUCUUCGAAAUAAAUCAAGUCUCUCGAAGAAAUUCCAA